UGGCGAACGGGUGAGUAACACGUGGGUGAUCUGCCCUGCACUCUGGGAUAAGCCUGGGAAACUGGGUCUAAUACCGGAUAGGACCAUGCUUUAGUGUGUGUGGUGGAAAGUUUUUUCGGUGCAGGAUGAGCCCGCGGCCUAUCAGCUUGUUGGUGGGGUAAUGGCCUACCAAGGCGGCGACGGGUAGCCGGACUGAGAGGUUGGUCGGCCACAUUGGGACUGAGAUACGGCCCAG
rnacentral:rRNA from 1 species